rnacentral:rRNA from 1 species
GACGAACGCUGGCGGCGUGCCUAAUACAUGCAAGUAGAACGCUGAAGAGAGGAGCUUGCUCUUCUUGGAUGAGUUGCGAACGGGUGAGUAACGCGUAGGUAACCUGCCUUGUAGCGGGGGAUAACUAUUGGAAACGAUAGCUAAUACCGCAUAACAAUGGAUGACCCAUGUCAUUUAUUUGAAAGGGGCAAAUGCUCCACUACAAGAUGGACCUGCGUUGUAUUAGCUAGUAGGUGAGGUAACGGCUCACCUAGGCGACGAUACAUAGCCGACCUGAGAGGGUGAUCGGCCACACUGGGACUGAGACACGGCCCAGACUCCUACGGGAGGCAGCAGUAGGGAAUCUUCGGCAAUAGGGGCAACCCUGACCGAGCAACGCCGCGUGAGUGAAGAAGGUUUUCGGAUCGUAAAGCUCUGUUGUAAGUCAAGAACGAGUGUGAGAGUGGAAAGUUCACACUGUGACGGUAGCUUACCAGAAAGGGACGGCUAACUACGUG